ACAAAUAUACCCGAGGGGUAGAGCUACUGGAUAAGUUGUCGACGUAAGGUAGGCUCUUCAACCAAACUCCAAAUACUCGUGGUACGUACCCGGGCAGUCAGUAUUACGGGGCUAAGCUCGUAGUACAAAAGGGAAACAGCCCAGACCGUCAGCUAAGGUCCCGAAAUCUUUGCUCAGUGGGAAAGGCAGUGAAGGCUCUUAGACACUUAGGAGGUUGGCUUAGAAGCAGCCAUCCUUUAAAGAGUGCGUAAUAGCUCACUAAUCUAGAGCCUUUGCGCCGAUAAUGUAACGGGGCUCAAGCAAAGUACCGAAGCUACGGAUUGCAUCGUAAGAUGCAGUGGUAGGAGAGCGUCCCAUACGCGCUGAAGCGGGAGGGUAACCGACCGUGAAGUGUAUGGAAGUGAGAAUGUUGGAAUGAGUAACCGCAAGGCAGGUGAGAUCCCUGCCCGCCGAAAAUCCAAGGUUUCCUGGGCUAUGGUGAUCAUCCCAGGGUGAGUCGGUCCUAAGGCGAGGCUGAAAGGCGUAGUCGAUGGACAAGAGGUUAAUAUUCCUCUACUGCGUAUAUAUUCGAUGGAGUGACGCAUCUCUGUACUUCUUGCCCCUUAUUGGAUUGGGGUUUAGGUCUUGAGGAUGUCAUAUAGGCAAAUCCGUAUGACAAUAAUCCGAAAGAUCCGACGAUUCCGGUAGCGAUACCGGGAAAGAAGAGGGAGCGGGGUGCCAGGAAAAGCUUCUCAGGUUCGUAUAUACGUAACCGUACCGCAAACCGACACAGGUGGAUUGGUCGAGAAGACUAAGGCGAACGGGAGAGUAUUCGUUAAGGAACUAGGCAAAAAAGCUAGGCGUAAGUUUGCAAUAUGCCUUGCCGGUUCUCUUCGGAGAGUCGGCCGCAGCGAAAGUUUUCCAAGCGACUGUUUACCAAAAACACAGCUCUCUGCAAACCCGUAAGGGGAAGUACAGGGGGUGACACCUGACCAGUGCUAGCUCGUUAACGGGAGCGGUUCACGCCAAUCCCCGAAGCGCUAGUGAACGUCGGCGAUAACUAUAAUCGUCCUAAGGUUCCGGAAAUUUCCUCGGAAGUUUUCGGAAGGACUGGGACGGUUAUAGGAAUGUGUGAAGAAAUGUGGAAGAAAAGGAAAAGUAAUUGCUUCUUUCGGAGAAAUCCGGAAGGUCCAAAAAUACUUAGCCAUAUGCUGGAACAUCUGGAGUAUCUGAUGAUACUAUGGUAAAAUUAUUCCAUAGAAAUAUGGAAGAGUGAUGCCGAGUGAAAAAUCAAUCAGUGUGUCUCGCUUCAAUCGUGAGACGCCAGACAAUCAGCAGGAAAGACUGAAGACCGUUGGCUGGGUCAUCGGGUAUGUGGAUGGGGAAGGAUGUUUUUCAGUGAGUCUGCUCAGGAAUGCCACCACGAAAAGUGGUUGGCAGACAUUUCCGGAGUUUGUGGUGACACAAAGCGGAAAGAGUAAGGCUUCAUUGGAAAUAUUGCGAGAUUUCUUCGGAUGCGGGAAGAUAUUUGUGAAUCGACGGUAUGAUAACCACCGAGAGCACAUCUAUCGAUACUGUGUCCGAUCACAAGAGGAACUUCGCGAAAAGAUCAUUCCUUUCUUUAUGGAAAAUCCGCUCCGAACCGCCAAACGAAAAGAUUUCGAGCAUUUUUCUUUUAUCCUCAAUCAGAUUAGACUCAAACGACAUCUGACGGAGCCUGGUAUGCAUAUGAUUGCCAGAAUGAUCGAGAAAAUGAAUCACAAGAAAGCUUCCCGGUUUUUAGAAUCCUCAGAGACCAAAUGCUAAGCGCGUAAUCGAUACGUGAAAAGAGAGUCCGUGCUCAUCGGCGACGAUGAGAAUAACACUACAGAGCGAAAUUCCUUGACAGGUAAGUUCUGUCCCGCAUGAAAGGUGUAACGAUUUGGAAACUGUCUCAACGAACAUCCCGGUGAAAUUGCAAUGACGGUAAAGAUGCCGUCGACCUGCAGCAAGACGAAAAGACCCC
rnacentral:rRNA from 1 species